rnacentral:tRNA from 1 species
CAAUUUAGAGCUUGUUUCAAGUAUUUUAUUUACAUUAAAAUGAAGACUGUUAAAUGCAGUCUAAGUUGA